rnacentral:rRNA from 1 species
AGAGUUUGAUCCUGGCUCAGAUGAACGCUGGCGGCAGGCCUAACACAUGCAAGUCGAGCGGAUGAAGGGAGCUUGCUCCCUGAUUUAGCGGCGGACGGGUGAGUAAUGCCUAGGAAUCUGCCUAGUAGUGGGGGAUAACGUUCCGAAAGGAACGCUAAUACCGCAUACGUCCUACGGGAGAAAGCAGGGGACCUUCGGGCCUUGCGCUAUCAGAUGAGCCUAGGUCGGAUUAGCUAGUUGGUGAGGUAAUGGCUCACCAAGGCGACGAUCCGUAACUGGUCUGAGAGGAUGAUCAGUCACACUGGAACUGAGACACGGUCCAGACUCCUACGGGAGGCAGCAGUGGGGAAUAUUGGACAAUGGGCGAAAGCCUGAUCCAGCCAUGCCGCGUGUGUGAAGAAGGUCUUCGGAUUGUAAAGCACUUUAAGUUGGGAGGAAGGGCAGUAAGUUAAUACCUUGCUGUUUUGACGUUACCGACAGAAUAAGCACCGGCUAACUUCGUGCCAGCAGCCGCGGU